ACCAUAGAGUGAUGUGCCUUUGAGCAACAACAAGUAUUGAAUUAUAAUCUAUGUAGAUAUAUGCUAAGAAGAAUAAAUACAGAGUACUAUGACAGCAUAAUUUAAUUAAUUAUUAAGGUAUCAUUGAGGAAACAAAAUAUGAGACUUGAAUAGGAAUUAUCCAAUUAUUCAAGAAAGGUUGGGGUGGGCAGAACAUAUUUUUGGUGUCUUUGGUAGGAGCAGUUUUGAUAUAAUGGCAAAGGUAGAAGCCAGAUGGAGAGUCAGUUCAGAUUCAACAUGGGCUUAGGAGAUAAAGUAGCAUAUAUAAAGAUUCUUCCCAAUAAAUUUGACUUGAAAUGAAAAAGAAAAUAUUAUAGCAUAUGGAAAGUAAUUUGGGAUUCAAGGAGAGAUUUAUUUUUCUUUAAUAUGGGAGAUGCCAGAGAAUGUUUGAAUACUCACGUACAACAAUGUGUAGAAAGGGAAGAUAUAGUCAAUGGAUGUGACUAAAAAAUGAGUAAGAUAGGAUCCCAAAUACAAUAAGAGUGCUAGGAUUAUAGAAGAAGGGAAACCAAACUCUGACAUCCAUUAUAACAAGAGUGAAUAAAGAGAGUAUUGGUGACUGUUCAGGUUAAGUUUACAGUUUGGUGAUGAGAUGAGUUGAGUUCUUAUCUGAUGGCUUCAAGAUUUUACAAAAUAGUAAUUGAGGUCAUCAGCUAAAAAGUGUGAUGAAAAGAUGAAGGGAGUGAGAGGUUUGAUUAGUGUGGAAAAUGCAUUAAAAAGUCAUUGAUAUAAAUAUUUUAGCACCAUAUGAAAAUAGAGUAAGAUUGAUGGACAUUGUUGACUACUCAAUUAAUACUGUUAGGAAUAUAUAAUGCCAAUCUAUGUGAUUUUAUCUAACAACCCUCAAUUGGCAGGAUGUAAGCUCAAAGGAAAUUAGUAGGGUCUUGACCAACAUGCGAGAAGGGAUGGAGAGAGGGACAUAGAAAUUAAAGACAUUGAUAACAAAAUGAUUUUAAUGAUUGUCUCUGGAACUUAAGCAGGAAAAGAAGAAAGCUGAAAACACACUGAGGAUUAUGGGAGAGGGGCAAGUGCAUGAAGCUUCUCAAUGACAUACAGACACUCUAAAAGCUCAAGAGAUCAAUUAUUCAACUUCAAGAACUGAAAUUUGAACACAGAUUUUGAGCUUCCAAAUCAGGAGAAAAAGAAGUGUUCUAUAAGAAGUUUGGACAAGACUCUGCAAGAAGUUAAGAGCAGGUCCUUAAAGGCAACUGUGAAUUAACGGAGACUAGUUUUGAGAAAAUCAGUCCUGAUUUGUUUCUCCUGGAGUUUUCUUCUUUAUGUGAUCCUUCAUAAAAGCUGCUAAUAUGGGAAAGAUUGAAAUCAGCAAGUUUCUGGCUGUAAGCUAAAAGAGGCUCUUGAAUCAUAUUUCCGCCUGCUUAGCAAAUUUCUCUUGCGACAAUUGGAUGUUAUUUGGGGUUCCAUACUAGCAGGAAGAAGUACAAGCAAAGCUAAGUCAUUUUGAGAAUAAAUAUUAUCUCUCUAUAUAUUUGUAAAUGUUAUUUUCUUUUUUUUUGAGGUUUAUGAUUGAUCCUUGGCAUGUGUCCCCUUGUGUAUUGCUC
ensembl:lncRNA LINC01473 long intergenic non-protein coding RNA 1473